GUGCCCGCUUCGGCAGCUCACAUACUAAAAUUGGAACGAUACAGAGAAGAUUGGCAUGGGCCCUGCACGAAGAUGCCACACAAAUUCAUGAAGCGUUCUAUAAGGAG